CUAUCUGCGUCCUUCUCCUGUCCUUAAUUUGAAUUGUAUUUUUAAAAUUUCUUUGUUGAUUUCUCUAGAUAGAUUUUCUGUGUUAUUUUUUGCAUGUGCUUGAACUGGAAGUUCAUGGUUUUAAUGGAAAAUUGCUGCUCAUUAGAUAUUUCUCUGUUUUAGGUUUGCAUCUUUUUGGUGAUUUUCCCCUAUUAUAGCAUUUUAGAGCCCGUUUGGAUUACCUUAUAAAUUGUUUAUUAGCUUCUUUCAAUUUUUUUAAGUAUUUGUCUGACCAACUUAAAAUCAUUAAAACUACUUAUAAGAAAAAAAAAAAAAACAAGUUAGUAUUCUCUUUGUGCCAACAUCUUGAGAAAAAAUCAAAAAAGGUUCUUAGAUUUUUCUCGAUAUUUACGUUGGCAGGAAGAUAAACUAUAGUUUCUUAACGGAUGUUUUUAUACUUUAAUUUUCCAAUUAUUUGAUCUUCUUUAUUCUUAAUUUGCUUGACAUGCUACAAAUGAAUAGUUGUUUUGAGUAUAUGCCUGAAAUAAAAUUAAUGAUUAUUCUUGUUAUUGAGAGGUUUUAGGUUCCUCCACUUAAAAUUGGACAUCAUGGAAAAUAAUGGAGUUGAUAAACUUCAAGAAGAAUGGAUUUCCACCUAUAAGAAUGAAAUUCAUCUUUAUUGAUGAUUCCCUUUUCCCCAUAUACUUUUUCAUAAUUGGAGAAGAUUUUUUUUUUUGAUAGAAAUAUUGAGAAGUACUGUUGAAAAUGAUACAACGAAAUUUAGAUGACAUGGGGAUGUUUACUUUACAGGAAAUAUCGUAGUAGAAUCGCGGAGGGGGAUGGUGGUUAUUUUUCAGGAAAUAUGGGAAUAUGAUCUUCUGAUUAAAUAUUUAUAUCAUCAUAAUUUUCUUUUGCUUUUGUGGUCUGUGGAAUAUGAGUUUUAAUGGAGAUUUCAGAGGGAUCCAGCGGAGUCCCUUUCCUUUGUCUCAAAUAUACACAAUCUGAGUAUUUCUUUGUUUGGUAUUUUUUUUCAGUUACGAAGAAUGAUAACAAUGCAAAAUGAGAAUAUUUUCCUUUUACUGGCAAACACAUCUGCUCACCUCAAAUAUUGAUUUGCUAUCAAAAUAUGUGUGAAAUUGCAUACUACUGAGAAGUAUUGCACACUAUUACAACCACUAAUAUGAAAUUUUACUCAAUUCAAUUAAGAAAUCAACACUCAUAUGUUGCCUUAACGGCUAAAUUGAAUCAGAUAUUUCAUCCAUGUUUUGGAUUGUAUUGUGCGGAUAACAUGAUAGAAAUUGUCUGUGUUACUUUAAUAUUUAUCUUCUGCAUCGCUUCUAGAAUGCCGGUAAGUUUAUUAAAUUGGCAGAUGUUCACAAACGAAGUACGGUGGAGUAUUUCUUCAAUAGUCUUCUUAAAAGACCUUCCUCUCGAAGCAGUCGAGAUUGUGCUAGAAUCCAUGUACAAUGGAAAACUUAGCAGAUGACUUCAAGGUAACACUUUUCUGUCAACGAGUGCUGCAAAAAAUUACUACCCUGCCUCUCAAAGGAAUCAAGGAGCCCCAACUAUUCAAGUGAUAGCAUUUAUUCUCUCCAUAUAAACUCAUUGAAAAACAUGUGAGACGAUAUUUUUGAUGCACCUUGAUCUUAAACCUAAUAUUAGUAACAAUUAUAUUAUGGUUUGGUUGUUAAUUAGGUUACAAAGAGGAAAGUUAAGAAUGGAUGGAAGAAUUGGAAGUGGAGGUCUUCAAAGGAUAAACUCAUGAAUGGAGUCUAUUUUAUACCAUGUACUUAUGGGACUACUAAUCCAUAUUACUCAAAGGCUCAAUCAUUCCCAAUGGCUGAUGGAUCUACGAUACCUUCUUUAAGUGUUGACGCUGGACCUUUGCAUUGCACUGCCUAUAAAUGUUAACACUUUUUAUUUUCCAAUGGAGGCUAUGAUUUUACAUUCUAAUUUUCUUAAAACGUGAUUAUUAGUUCUAGCUUUCAGUUUCUCUUUCCUUUUAUCGACUUACUUCAUGUAAUGAAGAAAAGAAAAUAUAAUUUCAAGAUGGAAUGAUCUAUUUAUUAA